AUAAAUCCUGUGGAUUGGGUGAUUUGUGGUGGAAGUAGUGGCAAGACCUCUGGGAAGCAAAGGAAAAGCAGCAGCAGCAGCAGGAAAAUUUCAGCAGCUUGGGGCCAGCUCACCGGGAUUCCUAUGUCCAGCCGCACCACAGAUGGAGCCUCCGUGGUCUCCCCAGCAGCAGCUCUGGGUAGCUUGUGGCUAAGAUUCCAGCUUGGAGUAAUUCCCCAGAGCCACAAACCUCAGAGAGCAGCACCUCUAAGAGCAGAGCUGUUGCAAAGCCAAGAUUGCAAGCCAGAGGAAGAGAAAUGACCUGGAAGGAAGGGCAGGCUGGUUGCCUGGCCCUCCUGUUUCGUCCCAAGACAAGACGUCCCUGGACACCAGCUGGUGAGGCACCUCAACAUGUUUAAAGACAAUGUAUCCUAAUACACGCAGCUGCAUGUGCCAUGUUCUUGUAGCAUUGCUCAAAAAACAUUUCUUCAAAACUUCAAUGAUUUCCCACUUCC